GACGAACGCUGGCGGCGUGCCUAAUACAUGCAAGUCGAACGAACUCUGGUAUUGAUUGGUGCUUGCAUCAUGAUUUACAUUUGAGUGAGUGGCGAACUGGUGAGUAACACGUGGGAAACCUGCCCAGAAGCGGGGGAUAACACCUGGAAACAGAUGCUAAUACCGCAUAACAACUUGGACCGCAUGGUCCGAGCUUGAAAGAUGGCUUCGGCUAUCACUUUUGGAUGGUCCCGCGGCGUAUUAGCUAGAUGGUGGGGUAACGGCUCACCAUGGCAAUGAUACGUAGCCGACCUGAGAGGGUAAUCGGCCACAUUGGGACUGAGACACGGCCCAAACUCCUACGGGAGGCAGCAGUAGGGAAUCUUCCACAAUGGACGAAAGUCUGAUGGAGCAACGCCGCGUGAGUGAAGAAGGGUUUCGGCUCGUAAAACUCUGUUGUUAAAGAAGAACAUAUCUGAGAGUAACUGUUCAGGUAUUGACGGUAUUUAACCAGAAAGCCACGGCUAACUACGUGCCAGCAGCCGCGGUAAUACGUAGGUGGCAAGCGUUGUCCGGAUUUAUUGGGCGUAAAGCGAGCGCAGGCGGUUUUUUAAGUCUGAUGUGAAAGCCUUCGGCUCAACCGAAGAAGUGCAUCGGAAACUGGGAAACUUGAGUGCAGAAGAGGACAGUGGAACUCCAUGUGUUAGCGGUGAAAUGCGUAGAUAUAUGGAAGAACACCAGUGGCGGAGGCGGCUGUCUGGUCUGUAACUGACGCUGAGGCUCGAAAGUAUGGGUAGCAAACAGGAUUAGAUACCCUGGUAGUCCAUACCGUAAACGAUGAAUGCUAAGUGUUGGAGGGUUUCCGCCCUUCAGUGCUGCAGCUAACGCAUUAAGCAUUCCGCCUGGGGAGUACGGCCGCAAGGCUGAAACUCAAAGGAAUUGACGGGGGCCCGCACAAGCGGUGGAGCAUGUGGUUUAAUUCGAAGCUACGCGAAGAACCUUACCAGGUCUUGACAUACUAUGCAAAUCUAAGAGAUUAGACGUUCCCUUCGGGGACAUGGAUACAGGUGGUGCAUGGUUGUCGUCAGCUCGUGUCGUGAGAUGUUGGGUUAAGUCCCGCAACGAGCGCAACCCUUAUUAUCAGUUGCCAGCAUUAAGUUGGGCACUCUGGUGAGACUGCCGGUGACAAACCGGAGGAAGGUGGGGAUGACGUCAAAUCAUCAUGCCCCUUAUGACCUGGGCUACACACGUGCUACAAUGGAUGGUACAACGAGUUGCGAACUCGCGAGAGUAAGCUAAUCUCUUAAAGCCAUUCUCAGUUCGGAUUGUAGGCUGCAACUCGCCUACAUGAAGUCGGAAUCGCUAGUAAUCGCGGAUCAGCAUGCCGCGGUGAAUACGUUCCCGGGCCUUGUACACACCGCCCGUCACACCAUGAGAGUUUGUAACACCCAAAGUCGGUGGGGUAACCUUUUAGGAACCAGCCGCCUAAGGUGGGACAGAUGAUUAGGGUG
rnacentral:rRNA from 1 species